UCUAUUAUGACAGAUUAAUGUAUUGGAUUUAAGCCCCAAUUAUAAAGAUUUUAAAUCUUUUUUUAGAA
rnacentral:tRNA from 1 species